UACGUAGGGAGCGAGCGUUGUCCGAAGUUACUGGGCGUAAAGCGCGCGUAGGCGGGCUGUUAAGUGAGAGGUGAAAGGCUGGGGCUCAACCCCAUGCAGUGCCUCUCAUACUGGCGGUCUUGAAUUCGGCAGGGAGAAGUGGAAUGGCUGGUGUAGCGGUGAAAUGCGUAGAGAUGUGGAGGAACACCAGUGGCGAAGGCGACUCUUUGGCCUGUAACUGACGCUGAGGCGCGAAAGCGUGGGGAGCAAACAGG
rnacentral:rRNA from 1 species